GCUUGAUUUCUGAAUAUUUAUCUCUAUUUUAUAAGUAAGCCUAUCUCCAGAGGGUGAACUUGCUGUCUUGUGUUGGGGGGUUAUAUAUGAAAUAUAUUUAUACAUAAUAGAUUUUGCAUGUGCAAAUACAUAUAUAUAUAUAAAUUAUUGUGUGAACCUUAAUACUUCCUUUUCCUAAAUUGUGUUCCUGUCCUUGAUAGAGCCUUCACUUUCACUUUACCAGAAAUCUCUCACUUCCUAGCAACAUUCUAAUACAAUUUUAUUUAAACAUUAGUUAAAUGCUGCCACUUCCAGGUGACUUUUAAAUCCAUUCUUUAAACAGAUUAUGAAGAAAUAUGGACAUCUCAUAGAUCUUCAGAAUAUUAUCGCUAACUACCAUUACUACUCGGACAUAUUUUUGCAUCUAAGGGUGAGAAUGGGAAGCCAUCUCUGCUUACACUGAGGACUACCAAAUACUUUCAAUGCACUUUUGGAUCCCUGCAUGAGCUAUUCUUAUGGAUUCCAAAGAAAAGGCACUGCUCAGGCUGCACUGCCUCGCUGCAAGCUUCAGGCUCCUGCAAGCUAAGCUAGCGCCGCAUCGUCUCCCUUCAGCUGCCAUCAUGAUUAUCUACUGGGACCUCAUCAGCCACGAUGAGAUGUUCUCCUACAUCUACAAGAUCUGGGAGGUUGUGAACGGGCUGUACCUGGAGGUGGAGGGGAAGAUGUCUGUAGGAUAGAAGAUAACGUUGAUGACUCGCUCAUUGGUGGAAAUGCAUUCGCUGAAGGCCUCUAGGGUGAAGGUACAGAAAGUACAGUAAUCACUGGUGUUGAUAUUGUCCUGAACCAUCACCUCCAGGAAACAAGUUUCACAAAAGAAACCUACAAGAAGUACAUCAAAGAUUAUGUGGAAUCAAUCAAAGGCAAACUUGAAGAACAGAGACCAGAAACAGUAAAACCUUUUAUGACAGGGGCUUCAAAACAAACCAAGGACAUACUUGCUAAUUUCAAAAACUACCAGUUCUUUAUUGGUGAAAACAUGAAUCCAGAUGGCACGGUUGCUCUACUGGACUACCGUGAAGAUGGUGUGACCCCAUAUAUGAUUUUCUUUAAGGAUGGUUUAGAAAUGGAAAAAUGUUAACAAAUUUGGAAAUUACUUUGGAUCUAUCACCUGUCAUCAUAACUGGCUUCUGCUUGUCAUCCGCACAACACCAGGACUUAAGACAAAUGGGACUGAUGUCAUCUUGAGCUCUUCAUUUAUUUUGACUGUGAUUUAUUUGGAGUGGAGGCAUUGUUUCAUGUUAUGUAGGUUGUCUAAAAAUAAAAUGCAUUUAAAUUUAAAAAAAAACUAAACU
rnacentral:lncRNA from 1 species